rnacentral:rRNA from 1 species
AACGUAGGUUCCGAGCGUUAUCCGGAUUACUGGGCGUAAAGCGCGUUCAGGCGGUUUGGCAAGUCGGGCAUGAAAUCUCUCGGCUCAACCGGGAGAGGUUGUCCGAUACUGCUGGACUUGAGGGCAGUAGAGGGUGGUGGAAUUCCGGGUGUAGUGGUGAAAUGCGUAGAUAUCCGGGAAGGAACACCAGUGGCAGAAAGCGGCC